UUAGGUACGGAAUAACUCAGGGAAACUUGUGCUAAUACCGUAUGAUGUCGAGAGACCAAAGAUUUAUCGCCUAGGGAUGAGCCCGCGUAGGAUUAGCUAGUUGGUGGGGUAAAGGCCUACCAAGGCGACGAUCCUUAGCUGGUCUGAGAGGAUGAUCAGCCACACUGGGACUGAGACACGGCCCAGACUCCUACGGGAGGCAGCAGUGGGGAAUAUUGGACAAUGGGCGAAAGCCUGAUCCAGCAAUGCCGCGUGAGUGAUGAAGGCCUUAGGGUUGUAAAGCUCUUUUACCCGGGAUGAUAAUGACAGUACCGGGAGAAUAAGCCCCGGCUAACUCCGUG
rnacentral:rRNA from 1 species